CUCCGGAGCCUGAGGCCGGCCGGCCCCGCCGGGCUGCGCCCCGCGGCCUGCAGAGGGAGCCGCGGCCGGCCGGCACAGCCGUCAGGGAACCGCAGAACGCCCACACGGAGGAGAAAAUCAUGCAGUGGUGAUAAAGCGACUGUGUGAAGUCAUAGAGGUACUGCUUGGUAAUAAGCACAUUGUUGGAGGUGCCACAUCCAGGGAUGGAGACUCCACCUCUGCCCUGUGUCAGGACCUGACAACCCCUCCUGUGAAGAAAUGUCUUGAAGACAAGAGGAAGAGAACUGCAUGCCAUCUGUAUCCUGAGUGCAGGCACAGCCACCAUUUCAAACAACCUUUCCUAGCUUAAAACCCUUACUGACAAUCUUGAUUUGGGGCAAGAAUAACAAAAGGUGGCACAUGAGGUCUACAGACUUGCUAUCAGUGGCAUUAAACAUGGAGCAGAACUACUCCUGUGACCAUGGAGCAUUCAGCAAAGGUUAUGAGCAUUAUCUGUUACAGCACAAGUAUCUCUGCCUUUGAUUGGAGCUCCUUGACAGCUCACAGGACUCCUUCCUCCUCCAAACAUCCCAUCCUACGCUUGGUAGUAAUUUGGUGCUUGCCCUUAGAAGUAAAUCCUUUGGCUUAAGAUAAAUAUCUAACCUGUAUUUUCCUUUUAUUUCACUUCUUGUUAUAACUUCACUUUGUGAUCUUCAUAGCAAAAGAUGAAGUAGGUCAUUAGUAGAUACGUCAAAUUAGCCUGGAGAAAUUAGCCUGGGGAAAAGGAGGCUCAGGAAGGACCUUGUGGUUCUCCACAACUCCCUGACAGGAGGGGACAGCCAGGUGGGGGUCAGGCUGUGCUCCCAGGGAACAAGGGACAGGAGGAGAGAAACAGCUUCAACUUGUUCCAGUGGAGGUUCAUGUUGGAUAUUAGGGGGAAAGUCUGCCUGGAAGGGGUUGUCAAGCCCUGACACAGGCUGCCCAAUGCAUUGGUGGAGUCACCAUCCCUGGAAAUAUCUGAAAAACAUGUGAAUGUGAUACUUAGGGACACAGACUUUAUGAUCUUAAAAGUCUUUUUCAGCCUAAACAAUUCUGUGAUUCUAGGAAACGCUAAUGACAGGGUGGGUUGGAGAUGUUACAGCACCAUGUGCACUGAUGGUCAGUCUAGGCAAUAUUCUACUCUCCCAAAGCUUCACAAACUGACAUUUUUUUCUUCAAGAUGUCAAAUCUUGAAUUAAAAAGUCUACUCCUUUAUGAGAGCUCCUGACCUGUACCCAGUGCAGGCAACCCUUAUGCUUUCAGAAAGAGAACAAAACAUUGAUGUAUCCUUAUAGACUAAAAGCUGCUGGUGAAAUUAUUCAUCCUUGAUGCCAAAGCAGAGCUAUUCCUAUGAAACUGAUCAAAAACUUUUUAUGAGCUCCAUUGUCUGCUGAAGUGCUCUCAGUACAUAGAUUAAAAGAGCAAAUCAAAGCAACUCCCUAGUUAAGCAAACUCCCAACCAGCCUACUAGUUCAAAGCCACAAGUCUGAACAAAAGGUCUG